rnacentral:rRNA from 1 species
CCUACGGGUGGCAGCAGUGGGGAAUAUUGGACAAUGGGCGAAAGCCUGAUCCAGCCAUGCCGCGUGUGUGAAGAAGGCCUUCGGGUUGUAAAGCACUUUCAGUGGGGAAGAAAGCCUUGGGGCUAAUACCCUCGAGGAAGGACAUCACCCACAGAAGAAGCACCGGCUAACUCCGUGCCAGCAGCCGCGGUAAUACGGAGGGUGCGAGCGUUAAUCGGAAUUACUGGGCGUAAAGCGCGCGUAGGCGGUCUGAUCAGCCGGUUGUGAAAGCCCCGGGCUCAACCUGGGAACGGCAUCCGGAACUGUCAGGCUAGAGUGCAGGAGAGGAAGGUAGAAUUCCCGGUGUAGCGGUGAAAUGCGUAGAGAUCGGGAGGAAUACCAGUGGCGAAGGCGGCCUUCUGGACUGACACUGACGCUGAGGUGCGAAAGCGUGGGUAACAAACAGGAUUAGAUACCCGGUAGUC